GUUAAUACUGAAUGCGCCCAGUUUAUUCAUCCAUCAAUCUUAAGUAACCAACCAAAGGUGGGGAUAGUGGCAGAAGACUUCUAUUAUCAUGUAUAAAGGACAAAUAGCAAUUACUUCCCUUAAUCCUAAAGACACUCAUAGCUGCUUGUACUAUUCCACCAUCAGGUGCUCCAUAGCUGCUUGUAUCAUCUAGCCUUCAGGAUCAGUGUAAACUCACCUGGGCCCAAGUCUAUUGUUAUUUAGAUAGGAGGCAUUCACCAGGCUAGGGCAUCCUACAACCAUUAACCUAAUAUCUCAAAGACAAUAGGAGUGACUUGAGCUCUCUGAACUCCUGGCAGGAUGGAAUAGAUUUCCAAUAUAUGGGCCCUGACAGAAGAGCAACUCUCUUUCUUUCAAUACCCUCCCCCAAUCUCCAUCAUUGCAUAAUGACAUAAGCAUGUCCCCUUUUGCUUCUAGCAAAACUGACAGCUCUCACAAUGGAAGACUAGAGAUUUCCUCACCUGGAACUGUGGGCUCGAGUUGCCUCAGGUGAACUCUUUUUUUCCAGACUACAGUUGCCAUCUUCUAUCUGAGGGUGUCUAAACAUUAACCAAAGGGAGAUGGAGGCCAUGUCCCUGUGCACCCCCUCCAUUAAUCCUCCGGUUAUGAGUAGCAAUGAGUUACAAGGUCAUUCAAACCAAUUUCGCCAUAAACAAAGUCUUUUUAUUGAAAAUAAAACAACAGCAAAGCAAAGCAAAACAAAAUGCCCUUCAUUUCUGAAGCUCAUCAUUGGCAAUGGUGGGCGCAGGCUGCAAUCUGUAGUCUGUUCCCAUGAGAUUGCAAAACUGUUUAUCAGCAUCGCUUUGUUGGGCGGAGGGGGGCGGGCUGACACAAAUCAUCUGGACAAAUCUUUGCUGCAGGGUGUAAUCACAUCAGAGCUACACUUGGGGCUGGUGGAAUGUUCCAGACUCCUUCCUGAAGGCCCAGAAAACUUUUGGAAAAAGUCAAAGUCUGUCUGCUGAAGAGUGUUUUGCCCAGCAAAGGGCAUGUGUGUUGGGGAGAGCAAUAAUUUUCAGACCCCUGGAGAUCCAUUUAAAGCCCGGACACAUCAUCCUGCUGGGGCUUGCACACAGGAUUUGUAACUGAUUAGCCUACAUAGGCCUUCUAAAGAAGUCUCAGGGGCAAGGCAAAAAGGACACCUGCAAGAUGUGUGGGCCAGGAGCUGAUAAUUCACCCUCAUGGUGUCAGCCCCAGCUGCAGAAGACCUUUUGAAGUAGGAGAGAAAGGCUUUGGAGGUUCCUCUCUGUUCCUAGUCCAGGCACAUGAGCUUCAUGCCCCAUUCUUGGUUGGGAGCUGGUCUCAAAGAAGAGGCCUCUGACUGCCUGGGAAUAGACCUUUUUACUACUACUGUCCAGAGAGAGGAUUCUGGGCCCAGAUACCUGGAGGAUGACACAAAACGAAAAUCAAACACAAUGGACAGCCUGAAGAGAAGAAAGGGCCUCUCUCAUAGUCCUGGGGCUGAAGAAUACAAGAUGAAGAUGCUAAUUCCAGAAAGAUCCCCACAACAUUCGCACUGCUUCCAGUUCAUGAUUGUGUGCUCUCAGCUUCCUGCUCCUGCCACCAGGCUUGCCUGCUGCCUGCCAUGCUUCCCCACCGCAACGGACUCUUAUCCUUUGGGAACUGAAAGAGACCUUGCUGUCUGUGGUAUCCAGACAGCAGCCAACCUGUGCCUGCCUGGCCCAGCAUUGAGGGUCUCACCCCAGCCUCAACAGAACAAGGAAGGGCAAGGGAGGAGCUGUUCGCCAGAGGAGUUAGCAAUGAGACCAGCAAUUCUGCUCUCCCCUGAGAAGAUUCAGAGAGCCAUGUGUGACCUGGUGAAGUGUUUUAUUUUCACCAAAUUAACAAACAAACAAACAGACAGACAGAAAAACCAAAACAGUGGUAUUUGAAACUAGGCAUUAUUACCAAUUACCAGUGGAA
rnacentral:lncRNA from 1 species